GCCAGGUGUGGUGGCACGUGCCUGUAGUCCCAGCUACUCAGGAGGCUGAGGCAGGAGAAUUGCUUGAACCUGGGAGGCAGAGGUUGCAGUCAGCCGAGAUCGUGACACUGCACUCCAGCCUGGGUUACAAACAAAAAAACACUAGUAAAAUUCUAAAUUCAAAGAUUAUAAAAAUAAGUACCAUUUUUUGUUUGUUUGUUUUUUGAGACAGAGUCUCGCUCUGUCACCCAGGCUGGAGUACAGUGACACAAUCUCGGCUCACUGCAACUUCUGCCUCCCAGGUUCAAAUGAUUCUCCUGCCUCAG
rfam:Pan troglodytes isolate Yerkes chimp pedigree #C0471 (Clint) chromosome 18, whole genome shotgun sequence.